rnacentral:rRNA from 1 species
AGAGUUUGAUCCUGGCUCAGGAUGAACGCUAGCGGCGUGCCUGAGAUAUGCAAGUCGAGCGAAGUCCAGACGCAAGUCGGGAUUCAGCGGCGGACGGCUGAGUAACGCGUAGGUAUUUGCCCCUUUCUUGAUAAUAGCCCCGCGAAAGCGGGGGUAAUAAUCAAUAAUAUCAAGCUUAUGCUUGAUUAAAGAAUAUAACUAUUUGGAAAGGGAUAAGCCUGCGUCCUAUCAGGUUGUUGGUAGGGUAACUGCCUACCAAGCCAAUGACGGGUAGCUGGCCCGAGAGGGUGGUCAGCCAGAGGGGUACUGAGACACGGACCCCACUUCUACGGAAGGCAGCAAUCAGGAAUAGUCGGCAAUGGGCGAAAGCCUGACCGCGCGACGCCGCGUGUGAGAUGAAGCUCUAACGAGUGUAAAUCACUGUGGUAGAGGAAGAAGUCCCGACUUAGUCGGGAUUGACUGUACUCUGCUAGAAAGUAGCCGCUAACUGCGUGCCAGAAGCGUCGGUAAUACGUGGGCUACGAGCGUUAUCCGGUUUUAUUGGGCGUAAAGGGUCGUGUAGGUGUUCUAUUAAGUCCUGUUUUAAAGACCAAGGCCAAACCUUGGAAAAAGACAAGAUACUGAUAGAAUUGAGUUGUUUUUAGGGAAACCAGAACUUAGGGAGGAGUAGUGAAAUGCGUUGAUACUCUAGGGAAUACCAGCGGCGAAGGCGGGUUUCUGAAAGACAUCUGACACUGAGACACGAAAGCUAGGGGAGCGAAGCAGAUUAGAGACCUGCGUAGUCCUAGCCCUAAACGAAUGCUUGCUAUCUGCAUUUUUCAACUUAUGUUGAGAGGUGUGGAGAAGGUAACCCGUUAAGCAAGCCGCCUGGGGAGUACGACCGCAAGGUUAAAACUCAAAGGAAUUGGCGGGGAGGCACACAACCAGUGGAACAUGUGGUUCAAUUCGAUACGAACCGAAGAACCUCACCAGGGUUUGACAUCCUAGCGUUCUAUUUUGAUGAAAGUCAGAAAAUCCGCAAGGAGGCUAGGACAGGUGCUGCAUGGCUGUCGUCAGUUCGUUCCGUGAGGAGUGCCCUUAAGUGGGACAACGA